rnacentral:rRNA from 1 species
ACUCCUACGGGAGGCAGCAGUGGGGAAUUUUGGACAAUGGGCGAAAGCCUGAUCCAGCAAUGCAAAGUGAAAGAAGAAGGCCUUCGGGUUGUAAAGCUCUUUCAGUCGAGAAGAAAAGAUUGUGAUGAAUAAUCACAAUUCAUGACGGUAUCGACAGAA